rnacentral:rRNA from 1 species
GACGUAGGUGGCGAGCGUUAUCCGGAUUUACUGGGCGUAAAGCGUACGUAGGCGGCGUCAUCAGUCUGUCGUGAAAUCUCCCGGCUCAACCGGGAGCGGCCGAUGGAAACUGUGACGCUCGAGGGGCGUAGAGGCAAGCGGAAUUCCCGGAGUAGUGGUGGAAUGCGUAGAUACCGGGAGGAACACCAGUGGCGCAAGCGGCUUGCCAGACGCAUCCUGACGCUGAGGUACGAAAGCGUGGGUAGCGAACCGG